AACAAAAACAUGUCUUUUUGGAAUUAAUUUAAAGUUUAACCUGCCCAAUGAUUUUUUAAUGGCCGCAGUAAAUUGACUGUGCAAAGGUAGCAUAAUCAUUAGUUUUUUAAUUAAAAGCUGGAAUGAAUGGUUGGACGAGAUAUUAACUGUCUUAAAUUAAAGUUUGAAUUUAAUUAUUUAGUAAAAAAGCUAAAAUUUAAUUAAAAGACGAGAAGACCCUAUAGAUCUUUAUAUUAAAUUUUUUAAAAUUAAUGAGGAAAAAUUUAUAAUUUAAUUAAAAUAAUAUUAUAUUGGGGUAAUAAAAAGAUUAAAAUAAUUCUUUUAUUUAUAAACAUGGAUUAAUGAUUUAAAUUGUGAUCCUUAAAUUAAGAUUAUAAGAAUAAGUUACCUUAGGGAUAACAGCGUAAUUUUUUUGAAGAGUUCAUAUCGAUAAAAAAGUUUGCGACCUCGAUGUUG
rnacentral:rRNA from 1 species